ACGGGGGGUGCAAGCGUUGUUCGGAAUAAUUGGGCGUAAAGCGCGCGUAGGCGGCCUGGCAAGUCAGAUGUGAAAUCCCCGGGCUUAACCCGGGAAGUGCAUUUGAAACUGCGGGACUUGAGUACUGGAGAGGAUGGGGGAAUUCCCGGUGUAGAGGUGAAAUUCGUAGAGAUCGGGAGGAAUACCGGUGGCGAAGGCGCCCAUCUGGACGGUAACUGACGCUGAGGCGCGAAAGCGUGGGGAGCAAACAG
rnacentral:rRNA from 1 species